rnacentral:rRNA from 1 species
GUCGAGAAUCUUUCACAAUGGGGGCAACCCUGAUGGAGCGACGCCGCGUGGAGGAUAAGGUCUUCGGAUUGUAAACUCCUGUCAUGCGUGAACAAGGUUGCUUGGUUAAUACCUGGGCAAAUUGAUGGUAACGCAAGAGGAAGAGACGGCUAACUCUGUGCCAGCAGCCGCGGUAAUACAGAGGUCUCAAGCGUAGUUCGGAAUCACUGGGCGUAAAGGGUGCGUAGGUGGCGUGGUAAGUCAGGUGUGAAAGCUCGGGGCUCAACCUCGGAACAGCAUUCGGUACUGCCAUGCUAGAUGACUGGAGAGGGGACUAGAGUUCUCGGUGUAGCAGUGAGAUGCGUAGAUAUCGAGAGGAAUACCAAAGGCGUAGGCAGGUCACUGGACAGUUACUGACACUGAGGCACGAAGGCCAGGGGAGCGAACGGGAUUAGAAACCCGUGUAGUCC